AUUCAAGAGAAAAAUUGAUGGAUUCCAAGUAAUCAAGCAAUCAAAGGUGGUGAGUCCUCCGAUAAAGGCAAGGAAAUUACAUCCGAGGACCAAUAGUCAGAGUACUUUGAAAAUCCGCACUCUAAACAUUCUUACUGCAGUGGGCGGGUUUCUGUGGAUCAG
rnacentral:sRNA from 1 species